GAUGAACGCUGGCGGCGUGCCUAAUACAUGCAAGUAGAACGCUGAAGGAGGAGCUUGCUCUUCUGGAUGAGUUGCGAACGGGUGAGUAACGCGUAGGUAACCUGCCUGGUAGCGGGGGAUAACUAUUGGAAACGAUAGCUAAUACCGCAUGACAACAGUUAUUGCAUGAUAACUGUUUAAAAGGGGCAACUGCUCCACUACCAGAUGGACCUGCGUUGUAUUAGCUAGUUGGUGAGGUAACGGCUCACCAAGGCGACGAUACAUAGCCGACCUGAGAGGGUGAUCGGCCACACUGGGACUGAGACACGGCCCAGACUCCUACGGGAGGCAGCAGUAGGGAAUCUUCGGCAAUGGACGGAAGUCUGACCGAGCAACGCCGCGUGAGUGAAGAAGGUUGUCGGAUCGUAAAGCUCUGUUGUAAGAGAAGAACGAGUGUGAGAGUGGAAAGUUCACACUGUGACGGUAUCUGACCAGAAAGGGACGGCUAACUACGUG
rnacentral:rRNA from 1 species